CCUACGGGGGGCAGCAGUGAGGAAUAUUGGUCAAUGGCCGGAAGGCUGAACCAGCCAAGCCGCGUGAAGGACGAAGGUGCCAAGCAUUGUAAACUUCUUUUGUCAAGGGACAAAAUCAGGCUCGAGAGCCUGACCGAGGGUACUUGAAGAAAAAGCAUCGGCUAACACCGUGCCAGCAGCCGCGGUAAUAAGGAGGAUGCGAGCGUUAUACGGAUUUAUUGGGUUUAAAGGGUGCGUAGGCGGGCUGUUACGCCAGGGGUAAAAGCCCGGGGCUAAACCCCGGCGAGCCGUUGAAACUGGCUGUCUUGAGAUGUCGAGAGGUAUGCGGAAUGCGCGGUGUAGCGGUGAAAUGCUUAGAUAUUGCGCAGAACUCCGUGUGCGAGGGCAGCAUACCGGCGGCGAUCUGACGCUGAGGCACGAAAGCGUGGGUAUCGAACAGGAUUAGAUACCCUUGUAGUC
rnacentral:rRNA from 1 species